AGACUUUGUGGUCCAAAAGGAGAUAAACAAAAGGAAGAAGCUGCUGAUGGAAGGGAAGGAUCCAGAUGAAGAGGCCAGAAAGAAACAGAAAUACAUCAAGGAAAAAAAUCUAGAACAAAAGAAGAAAAGGAAAGAAAAAUUUGAACAAAAGACUUGAUUAAAAGGUUUACAGCCUUUGAAAGAAAAUCUGUGCAAUAUUAAAAUGUUACAAGUUGUGAACUAGCUAUCACAGAGGUGUUAAAUUAACUUCCACCAACCCUCAAUCUCUCAAAGACCAUGUCAGGACUUUCAAAACACUUGCAGAUACAUGUACUUGUAACCCACAAACCACAGGUAUAUAUACCUGCAACAUACAUGUAUGUGAGAAAUUUUAAGCUAUGAAACCUGAGUCACAUGUUAUAAGAUCCAGACUUUCUUAUAUACGUGUCACAGGAACACAACAUCAAAAUAUUGGAGAUAAAAGUUCGAUCAGAUUUGUUCAGCUGUGAUGUAUAUAAUUAUGAAAGUGUAAUGAUUAUGUACAGUGUAUAAAGCUACAUGUAUGGGUGUAAUGGCAGAAGAUAAGCUCUCAAAAAUUUCCAGAUUUACGGUAUAUGUUAUAUAUGUUAUAGCUGUAUGUUUGAACAUGUAAUGCAUGUACAUAAGAUAUAUGUAACAAUUUAAGUGAAAUGUUAUAGCUAAAUUUACUGAUUUUAAGUGUAAAUGUAAGCUUGAUGUGAAAGUGAGUGUAAAUUAUAUUGUAAGCAUGUUUAACAGAGCAGAAGUGUGGUAUAAACUUAAAUUUGCAAUGAGAGGAAUUGGCUGCUAUUUAAGCUACUGUCAAUUAAAUCUAUGGAAUUUUUGAAGUCUUGGAUGCUGUAUGGAAAAUAAUUUUAGGCAUUAUCUGUAUUUUAGAUUUUCAGAGAAUUUGAUUUGAAAAGGAUUCAUAAGAAUGUAUUGGG